AUAGAAAUGAUCGAAAUUAAAAAUAAUAGUACAAACAAACGCAUGCCACAGAAGAAUCCUAACAGAAUCUAUUCCAACUCACAUCUUCUGUUUCAGUAUUCCAUCACUGGUGACAAACGAUGGUCGCCGGAGAGAGGUGCUGCGUGGUGACGGGCGGGAGAGGCUUCGCGGCGAGGCAUCUGGUGGUUAUGCUCAUCCAACGCGGCGUUUAUUCCGUGCGCAUUUCCGAUUUGGGGCCUACCAUCGCGCUCGACGCCGACGAGGAGACCGGCGUUCUCGGCAGCGCAUUCAAGUCCGGUCGCGCGCAGUAUGUCACCGCAGAUCUUCGCGACAAAUCUCAAGUGCUCAGAGCUUUCAAUGGAGCUGAAGUCGUGUUUCACAUGGCUGCUCCCGAUUCAUCAAUCAAUAACCAUCAGCUGCAGUAUUCUGUCAAUGUGCAAGGAACCAAGAACGUCAUUGAUGCAUGUAUUGAGCAGAAAGUAAAACGACUUAUAUAUACAAGCUCCCCAAGCGUAGUUUUCGAUGGAGUUCACGAAAUAAUUAAUGGAGAUGAAUCAUUACCUUAUCCUUCUACGCACAAUGAUUCGUACUCGGCCACAAAAGCUGAAGGAGAGGCCCUGGUUCUGAAGUCAAAUGGGUCAAACGGACUACUAACGUGCUGCAUUCGACCCAGCAGCAUCUUUGGCCCCGGUGACAAGUUGCUCGUUCCAUCUUUAAUUGCUGCAGCAAGGGCUGGAAAAUCUAAGUUCAUCAUCGGAGAUGGCAACAACAUAUAUGAUUUUACUUAUGUUGAGAAUGUAGCACACGCUCACAUAUGUGCUGAACAAGCUUUGGCAUCGGAAAAGAGUAUAGCAGAAAAAGCUGGUGGACAGGCAUACUUCAUUACCAAUAUGGAACGAAUCAAAUUUUGGGAGUUCAUGUCUUUCAUCCUUGAAGGUUUAGGUUAUGACAGGCCAAAAAUUAAGAUUCCUGCAGCCGUUGUGAUGCCCAUUGGGCAUAUGGUGGAGUUAAUUUAUAAAAUCUUAGCCCCAUAUGGGAUGAAAGUGCCACAGUUGACACCAUCAAGAAUCAAACUUCUAUCUCGCAGCAGAACUUUUGAUUGUAAAAAAGCCAAUGAUCGUCUUGGCUAUAUGCCUAUUGUGACUCUCCAGGAGGGACUCAGAAGAACAAUUGAAGCAUACCCGCACUUGAAGGCUGAUGCUAAACUGAAAAUGGAUGGAACAUCGAAAGUUUCUGCCACCCUACCCUCAAGGAAUAACAAGCAACUUCUCGCUGUAGUGCUGAUCGUAGCUGCAUAUUACUUUUUCUUCGUAUGGGGCAAACUAUCCAACAAAACGCAGGCUCACUUCUGAUGAUAGAACGCAGCUAGUCAGAUAUGCAAUAGAGAGAAAAUCUCAGAGGUAUAAAGUCUAAAUAACGGAAGUCAUACGCAAGAAGAAUUACCGUUGCAUUUACUCGUCCACUAUUAAAAGAUUGUGAUGAGAACUAAACACCACAGUUUGCUUCUCUGUGUUUGAUGUUCACAAUCAACAAAUUCCUUGUCAGCUAACUAACAGUAUCAAGUGGCCUAUGAAACAGCAACACCAUCUGGAUUCUUUGGAAGAUAUUAUGGCACAUUGGAUAUUCGAUUAUUUUAAGGAUUGUUGUUGCCCAUAUUCGUUUUGAUUGUGACACUUUCUUGAAUUUGAAACAAGUUAUGGUGAAAAACCGUCAUUUUUCAUGAA